UCCGGUUUGACACCGGCAGUCUCGCUAGAGUCCCCAGCAUUACCUGUUGGCAACUAGCGACAGGGGUUUCGCUCGUUAAGCGACUUAACGCGACACUUCACAGCACGAGCUGACGACAGCCAUGCAGCACCUGUGUAUGUUGUACUCUUGCGAGCCUCACUCCCCUUUCAGGGAGCUAAUCCAUACAUGUCAAGCCUUGGAUAAGGUUCUUCGCGUUGCUUCGAAUUGAGCCACAUGCUCCACCGCUUGUGUGAGCCCCCGUCAAUUCCUUUGAGUUUUAAUCUUGCGACCGUACUCCCCAGGCGGUACACUUAGCAAUUUUUCUUCGACCAUAGGGACGUCAAAGUCUCUACGAUCUAGUGUACAUCGUUUAGGGCGUGGACUA
rnacentral:misc_RNA from 1 species